UCGAGCAAAGAAUGGAAAAGAAGAAGUAGUGACACAAGUCCGAUUCUGGCACGCGGACAGGAACCCUUGACCGCGCGACCACAGGGACCCUCUCGGUUUUCGUCGGCAGUCGUCCUUCCAAGUCCCCGUAAGCCCUGAAAAGAACGGCCUCGAAAUGGCGUCGGAAAUGUCCGUUGCGGGCUCGGAGAUGUCCGGCGUCGGAUCGGAGAUGUCCGGGGUCUCCGCCGACGCCGGAGGAGGUGGUGAUGCUGCGGCCAAGAAAAAGAAGAUGAUAAUGAUCGGCGUGAUCGCCGUCGUGGUGCUCAUCGUGUUACUUGCGGUCGGUUUCAUUGCCUUCAAGAUGCUGAGCAAGAAAAACAUCAAGGACGACACGGAGCCAACCCAACCAUGGUGAAUCAAUCGCCCCGAUCUCUUCGCCGUUCCACUUGUACAUAACCUGCCCUGUCAGAAGAGACUCCAACGGUGGACUUCUCUUCUCUAACUUCGACUUGUCCAACCAGGAUGACCACGAACCACCAGGCGGCAGGACUCUCUGAGUAAUGGAGUUCUAAUUUUAAGAAAACGGGACGGAACGGUAAAAGUGGUGGCACAACUGCACUUGGACUCUUCCGCGACUUGGUGUCUUCUGUAAUAUAUUUUAGAAGUAAAUCGUGUGUUCUUGC